rnacentral:rRNA from 1 species
GGGAUGACACAGUAGGAUAAGCUAAGCACACUGUUGGUUAUGUGUGCCCAAGCAUUGAGGCAGUCAAAGUAGGCAAAUCCGCUUUGAUAAUGCUGGGGUGUGAUGGGGAGCGAAAUUUAGUAGCGAAGUAGCUGAUUUCACACUGUCAAGAAAAGUCUCUAUCGAGGUUAAAGGUACCCGUACCGCCAACCGACACAGGUGGGUGAGGAGAGUAUCCUAAGGCCAGCGAGAGAACUGUUGUUAAGGAACUCGGCAAAAUGACCCCGUAACGUAGGGAUAAGGGGUGCCACCAUCAGGUGGCCGCAGAGAAUAGGCCCAAGCGACUGUUUACCAAAAACAUAGGUUUCUGCUAAGUCGCAAGACGAUGUAUAGGAGCUGACGCCUGCCCGGUGCUGGAAGGUUAAGGGGAUCUGUUAGAGCAAUCGAAGCAGUGAACUUAAGCC